rnacentral:rRNA from 1 species
AAUCUUGCGCAAUGGGCGAAAGCCUGACGCAGCAACGCCGCGUGGAGGACGAAGGCCUUUUCGGUUGUAAACUCCUUUCAGCAGGAACGAUCAUGACGGUACCUGCAGAAGAAGCCCCGGCCAACUACGUGCCAGCAGCCGCGGUAAUACGUAGGGGGCGAGCGUUGUCCGGAUUUAUUGGGCGUAAAGAGCUCGUAGGCGGCUCGGUAAGUCGGAUGUGAAAUCUCCAGGCUCAACCUGGAGUCGCCAUCCGAUACUGCCGUGGCUAGAGUCCGGUAGGGGACCGUGGAAUUCCUGGUGUAGCGGUGAAAUGCACAGAUAUCAGGAGGAACACCGGUGGCGAAGGCGGCGGUCUGGGCCGGUACUGACGCUGAGGAGCGAAAGCGUGGGGAGCAA